CCUCCGGUGGGCCCGUCGCGCCCUGCAGACUCCGCCUUCUCGAGGGCUCGGCGUUGUUCGCUGCGGCCAACUUCUUUUCCCUCAAAGGCAGAGUCAGGACGUGGAAAGGCUUCCUCUGAGUGUUCUCGUCGGUUCUGUUUCGGAAGCCUCAAUCUCCUGGGGUUUACUCAGAUUGCGGCAAAGUAAAAGCUGUACUUCGUUGGGGCCGGAGAGGAACCGGCCUUCGGAGGACUCUGGCUCGCUUCCGGGCUCCGCCCCGUGCUGGCGGCGGGCCUGGCGGAAGAGCCUUUGUAUCCGGAGUGUCCCUGUCGGGAAGGGACAGUCGUCUACCGAGGGCCGUUCUGAGCCCGGAGGAGAAGUUGUGUGGUGCUAAAUAGCUGUUCCCCUCCCUUACACUGGAAAGCGGCGUCAUGAUGAACCCACCUAACCUGUCGAGAACAUUUCUGGAAACCUUUUUAAGAGACGUCACGUGUAUUGAUUUCUGAGUAUUAGGCUCUGUUCCAAGGGCCUUUUAAAAUCCUCCUCGCAACCCUAUGAGAUCGGAAAUUGCCCUGGUUUGACAAAUGAGUCCAAAUAAAGGAAGGCUAAGCAGCCUGUCUGGGAGAAAAAAGGUGUCAGGAUUACUCAGGAUUCCAAGCACGUUGAUACUAAAGAAGGAGGGCUUAACGCUGGAAUGGGUAUGGUGUUACCCUAGCCAGGUGCGGUGGCUCAGUUCUGUA